UGACAGAUACGUGGUCAGACACCAGAAUGUGGUUUGUUCACCUGCUUGAUUUUAAUGCUUUGACAAAUAUGCUGUCUAGUAGCUCAACAUCUCAUAGAAAUUUCUGAUUUCCCAAGGUUAACCAGAAAUGAUUUUGAGGUUUGAGGCUGAUGAUGCUGUGACUCAUAUUAAUGACAAAUGGCAGUAAUACAGUUCUUGCAAGCAAUUUUCAAGCCAGACACGAUGCACAAAAGCCUAGCAGAAGAUUUGACAGCAGAAAACAUUGCACAAACAUGACUUUGGCAUUUGAUUGAAGUGCUGUAUUGUUCAGCUUCAACACAUUCUGACAUCUUCUGCAGAUCAAUUAAAGUGCAACAGUGUGGAAGCAAUAGAAAUGAAGAUGUCGUUUUAUCCUUAGCUUAGAAUAAAAAGAAAUGCAUUUGAGGAAAAGGAUGAAAGAGAAAUAAGCUGUUUGAACACAGUCAGCAUAACUUUUAUGUAUGUAUAAAGUUGUCUGAUACUACUCCAUGAAGUAAGAAUAAAAGAACAAGUAGGUAGGAAGAAUUCACAAAGUAGCAGAGGAGGAGCAGAAGAAUAAGAUUAUAUGUGUAGUAUCCAAGCCAUCAGCCAGAAAGGACCAUGAAUUUGGUUUAGAA